AUAUCAUGUUGAAACACUUGUUCUUAUCUGAUCGCCCAAGUUAAGCAACAUUGAGCUUGUCAGUACUUACAUGGGUGACCACUUGGGAAUACUAGGUAGUGUAA